GGGUUUGACCGGGCCGUUACCCUAUCUUUCUCCCCUUCCCCAUCCUCUUCCUCUGUCCGCUGCCGCGUCACCUGGGGGCGGCUUCGUCCGCGCCGCUGCCGUGGUGCCUCGCUAUCGCUGGAGUCAGGCGAAGCCGGACGGAUCCACCGCCAAUCUGUUCCUCCCUCUCCUCGAUUCGGCUCGGUACCUCCUAAGUGUGGCUGUCCAUACCAUGCCGAAGAUCAAGCACACCGCUCACAAAAAUACCGGGGGCUCGUCAGCUCGCGCGUCUUGUGGUGCUGGCUCGGAUGACUCGCAAGAGCAUCUUCGUCCGUGCAAGCGGGCUGGGAAAUAGCCUGUCUAUGAGGACACCUCUUCACUUGAAGGAUCUGACUACGAAGAGGAGAUGGAAUACGAAGAACGGGCUGAGUAUGUUGCUGUUCGGGCAAAUGCUCCCAAGCCUGGAACACAGAAGCCCUCCUACAUGCCUCCUCCACUUCCUAAUCAGCCUCCCGGUGAUGCUCGCCGCAUUUCUUUUGAGCCUCCUCAUCUCUAGGUCGCGAAAUCAAGGAUUUUCCUUUAGUAUCUAAAUCUGCCUACCUUAAAUUUCGUCGCGAUGUUGACCAAUUCUCCGCUGAGCAUGAUUCGAUGGAUUCUCGUUUUCGUACCGAUGUUCAGGCAGACAUUUUCACCACGGUCAUUGUUCCUAAGGGGCUGCCUACUCAUAUCUAUGUUGACUUAGAGCAUAUCCGUUCUCAUCCCGUGAAAUAUCCGGGAGCCAUUAAACUCAUUGAGUCCUCUGUCUUGCUGCUCCAUUUGCUUUUCACCAUGACUACAAUCUCGCUGCUAUCCAUCAGUUUUACGCCACAUGUUUCUUUGGUCCUGACAAGACCGUCACCUGGAUGACUUCUGACACCAAGCUCACCGCCACUUAUGCUCAGUUUGUUGCAGCUCUUGGGUUUCCUGACACUAGUUUCAAAAUUCAUAAAUCUGACCCAAAUCAUGCUCCCAAAAACAUUGAGGUUUGUGGCUUCCUUCUCUAACCUAUUACUGAGCUUGAUGAAGUGGAAAAGCAAAAAGAUCUCAAUCAAGUAUCUAUUUAGCGAUCUCCUUUCAUUAUCUAUCAGUGUGUCAUCCGCACCAUCUAUACCAAGAUGGGUGACAAAGGGUCCUGCAACGGGUAUUGUAUUGAUCUCAUGUAUUGUCUCUUUGAGCAUCCCAAUGGCAAGAUAAAUAUUCCUCACAUCUUGUGGCAUGAGAUUCGUCUUGCUAGUCUUCAGUACAAGUGGGCCUUUCCUCAUGCUCCUUUUCUUCAGGAUUUCAUUGAGAGUAUUGCUCCUUUUCCCAUUGCUCGGACUCAUGUUCAUCCGCGAUGGGUCAUUCCACCUCAUAUGGCGGAUGAUUGGGCUCCCAAGAAAUCCUCAACUGCACGACAGUCUGCUGCACAGUCUCUCCCUAUUCCCCCUAGCUCGGGGUCUUUUGGACGCAUUGCUCGCUUUCUCAGGAAGGCCCAUUCUGCCAUGAUGAAGGCCUUCUCCUUCCACUAUGUUCUCAAAAUCAUGAUGUGUUCACUCGCAUGGUCUCUUCUAAGAAUGCUCUGAAGGCUCGUCUGAGAGCCUCCGGAGCCACAGAUGUGAGUGAGGAUGAGCAUCUUCCUGAUGCUCCUCCUUCCGACUUAAUUUGGCUUCCCUUCUGGUCCUGAAUGGGCAGAUUUCUUUGACGAGGCAGGAGGCAGUGGUGCCCAUGGCGACGAUGAUGACAGUGAUGAUCUCUGAGGAUGUGGUGGCUUCUGUGGUGCCUUCCCCUUUUGGGUACUUGAUGCCAAGGGGAAGGAGAUUUAUCAUAGACUUAUCUUCCUUUCUAUUAUUUAUGUAUGAUGAACCACCAUGUUGAGCUUGUUAUUUAUGUAUGAUGAACCACUAUGUUGUGUUGAGCUCGUUGGAUCAUUUUAUGUUAAGUUGAACCUCUAUGAUGUGAUAUAUGUGUUCUUAACAUUGAUGCUA